GUAGUUUAAUUUAGCGUUAACUUGAACUAUCCGGACUUACCCUGUGUCCGAACUUACCCUGAUUAACUAUAUUAUAAUAAUCCUAAAUUAA